GAAGAUUGCAACUCUUUAUUUUCAUGUGAAAGAGCUACUAAUGAAUGUUCUUGUUUUGUUUUCAGAAAAAAAAAAAAAAUCCAAAAAAACCUGGCAGUGACAUGGAGAAAGGAAAGGAAAGGGAAAAAGAAGCUAGAUAAAACGCAGCACGAAGGAUGCUUCUGAGCCGUGAUCACCAUCCACAGUCACUUAUUCCUAGGGUGACCAGAAAGUUUGCCUUCCAAACUGGAAUACAUCUGAAAGUAGAGCACACAUAGAUGGGAGAAGAAGCAAGAUUGAAAGCGGAAUGGAUUAGCCAACUGAUGAAGGGAGGUAAAAGCGCCCCAGAGGCAGCUCUCUUCUCUGAAGCCUCACUGGAAUUGCUCAGGUUUGGCCUUGGAGGAAGUCCACAUAAGUGAACUAGGUCUACCCUCUUCCCCUCCUUGGUUAUGAUGCUGGGGGAGGCACAAAGUAAUCUGUAAGUACAUGCAAGAGGGAAAAAAAUGAAUAAACAUUCAGCAACUAGGAUCUGCAGCACUGCCUGCCACAGAGCAUCUUAGGUGACUCCUUAUAAAGGCAUGAAGUUCUGAUGCAGCAUAGAUGAAUCUUGGAAAUAUGAAGUGAUGGGAGCCAGCCACAAGAGGACAAAUACUGUACGAUUCCACUUGUAUGAGGCAUGUGGGGAUCAAACCUGUACCCCUUGCAUUGGAAGACAAAGUCUCAACCACUGGACUGCCGGGGAGGCCCCUAUAUGGCAUCUCUGCAAGAAGGACACUUCCCUCGAAAGCUCAAUCUGAGUCAGGGAAGUGGAAGGAUGUAUCUGCCUCCACCGUCAGUCUUUUGCUUCAGACUGUGCAACCAUCCCUGUUCUACAGGGCUUAUGGAAGACGUGAUUGAUGACAUGCAAAUUUACACUUGAGAUCUUCUGCUGAAGAUCUUCCCCUCCAAGGAUCAAACCUAACUACUCAGCCAACUGUUGUCAAUGUUUGAUUAAAUGCGCUCUGUUCUCUAUAUGCUCUGUGUGAAAAAGUUCACAUGGAAGUAUUGGCAGGGGAGGCUUGUGUCAUCUUCCCUAAGUGCUUCAGAGGUUAACUCUGAGAUGUCAGGAGCACUGUGGGCAAAUUGCAGAAGCCAGAGAGGGCCUCUGUCAGCAUCCGAGAUCUGUGCCAGCGGUUUUCUGAAGAGGCCCUGGGGUUUGCAGGUAGAGCACCGAAUCACCUGGGGGCUUUCUCAGACUACACUCGCCAGUUGCUUCCCCCAAACCCCGAGAGAUGGAUCUCGCCUCGCCACCAGCCUGUUUAAAAUCGCUGAUCUGGGUUGUUAGGAAAGAGCUUCAUUAAACUUAAAUUUAGCAUGUGAGGCUGUGGAUAACCCCAUCUCUGUUUCGGAGAAACAACUGUUUACUAUUCUAACACUCUGGAAACCUGGCAAGCCGCUAUGGGAGGGCUGGCAACCCUGAGCUCCCGAGGCUUCUGUGCAGCUGCUCUGUAAGGGACCCCUGCCCCAAGGGCUCCCACCUGCCCAGCUUGGUGUUCAAAUUAGGAGGGGGUACAUGACCAAGAACUUUGCAGGACCCAGAAGGGCAGCCGGAACCUAUUUUUGAUGAUCCUGAGGAUUAUUAAGAAAGGAAAUUCCACAAAGUCCUUGUAACUCUCAGAAAGGAUUUUGUUCCACUGCUUGCUUGCUUUGUCUUCCAAUUCUAUUUCUGGAUUUCCCUCUUUACGUUUCUAGGUCUGGAACUGAAUAGCAAUGAAGUAAAAGUGAUCAUCCUAAAGAGAUAUUCCUGAGUGAAAAAAUGGGUUACUGAGAAUCCCUGCCCCCACCUAUGUGAUGGUGGUCUUGGUGGACUUGUGGGAGGUUUUGAAGGACAACUGGAGCCCUGGGAAUUCGGAGGGGGAUUUUUACUCUAUUGUCACUUACUCUAGGGGAAAGGCGAUGUGGGUUACAGCUACCCAGGUAGUGGGGCUGAGUUAAUUGCUGCACACUGAGAAACUGCCUUGCUCACACUUGCUUUCUGUAUUUAUUUUAUUGAAGUAUAGUUGAUUUACAAUGUUGAAUCACUUAGCAAAAUGAUUCAGAUAUAUAUUACAUAUAUAUAUGAAACAUAACCAUAUACUUCCAUUGUAUUUUAUUAUAAGGUAUUGAAUAUAGUUCCCUGUGUUAUACAGUAGGACCUUGUUAUCUGUUUUAUAUAUAGUAGCGUGUAUCUGCUAAUUCCAAACUCCUAAUUGUCCCUACCCUCCUUCCCCUUUGCUAACCCCAAGUUUGUACUCUGUGUCUCACACUUUCCUCUAGAAACAUCUAUUGCAGGAAAAGCCUUCUGGUUAGAUCCUCAUCUUCUAAAUCACACACACGGUACGUGACCCUGGGUGUUGGGAGUGGGGACGCUGGACCGUAGAGUCGAAACAGCCCCAGGAUCCACAAGUGACGUGAUAGACAAGCCGCGUGAUCUCGAGGCAGCUAAAAUGAGACUCCAGACGCCGGAGGGAAUGGAAAGUGAUGACGCCAGACACCCGAACAGCAUCGUAACCUCAGAGGAUGUUCACAGCCAGGACUCUGUAAGCUGAAUGGACUGGAACUAAGUGCGUAAGACAGCCUUGUGGACAGAGAAUGUAAUGACGUUGCCUUUUAUUUCCUGUUUGAAGUGUCCUGUCGAGCGAGCCUACUGAUUACGGAGAAGAUAAAGCAAAGCUUAAAUUCAUCACUAUUUGAUGUUGGAAAUGCAUCCUGGAAGAGGAUAGAGUUUACACACUUGAAGGCUAUGUUUAGCCAGACUUGUCCAAAGCCAUCUUUUCUGCAGUUAUCUUUAUUUUUGCCCAGCAGACCAUAAAGCAGGCAGUGAAUACCUAAUUAGUCCUUACAAUGGACUAUUCUCCCCAGAAUUCUGGAAGCCAGGGCAAGAUUUCAGAACCUUCUUUUUAAAAGAUGUUAGUUGCUGUUAUAACAAAAAUAACAGCAGUGAACUAACAGUGAAAAUACACAUUUAUAUAUA
ensembl:lncRNA